rnacentral:rRNA from 1 species
GACGAAUGCUGGCGGCGUGCUUAACACAUGCAAGUCGAGCGGAGCGGCGAACGGGUGAGUAACGCGUGAGUAACUGCCCCCCUCUCUGGGAUAACAGUUGGAAACGGCUGCUAAUACCGGAUAGUGGGGGAUGACUCGCGUCCUAUCAGCUUGUUGGUGGGGUAGGGGCCUACCAAGCGGACGCCGGGUAGCCGGCCUGAGAGGGCGACCGGCCACAUGGUGCUGAGAUACGGCGCAAACUCCGACGGGAGGCAGCAGUGGAGAAUAUUGCACAAUGGGGGAAACCCUGAUGCAGCAACCCGCGUGCGGGAUGACGGCUUUGUGGUUGUAAACCGCGUUCAGCCAUGACGCGGUAGUGGCAGAAGAAGCACCGGCUAACUACGUGCCAGCAGCCGCGGUAAUUC